AUGAACGCUGGCGGCGUGCCUCAUACAUGCAAGUCGAGCGAACAGACGAGGAGCUUGCUCCUCUGACGUUAGCGGCGGACGGGUGAGUAACACGUGGAUAACCUACCUAUAAGACUGGGAUAACUUCGGGAAACCGGAGCUAAUACCGGAUAAUAUAUUGAACCGCAUGGUUCAAUAGUGAAAGACGGUUUUGCUGUCACUUAUAGAUGGAUCCGCGCCGCAUUAGCUAGUUGGUAAGGUAACGGCUUACCAAGGCAACGAUGCGUAGCCGACCUGAGAGGGUGAUCGGCCACACUGGAACUGAGACACGGUCCAGACUCCUACGGGAGGCAGCAGUAGGGAAUCUUCCGCAAUGGGCGAAAGCCUGACGGAGCAACGCCGCGUGAGUGAUGAAGGUCUUCGGAUCGUAAAACUCUGUUAUUAGGGAAGAACAAAUGUGUAAGUAACUACGCACGUCUUGACGGUACCUAAUCAGAAAGCCACGGCUAACUACGUG
rnacentral:rRNA from 1 species